AUUGAACGCUGGCGGCAGGCCUAACACAUGCAAGUCGAACGGUAACAGGAAGAAGCUUGCUUCUUUGCUGACGAGUGGCGGACGGGUGAGUAAUGUCUGGGAAACUGCCUGAUGGAGGGGGAUAACUACUGGAAACGGUAGCUAAUACCGCAUAACGUCGCAAGACCAAAGAGGGGGACCUUCGGGCCUCUUGCCAUCGGAUGUGCCCAGAUGGGAUUAGCUAGUAGGUGGGGUAACGGCUCACCUAUGCGACGAUCCCUAGCUGGUCUGAGAGGAUGACCAGCCACACUGGAACUGAGACACGGUCCAGACUCCUACGGGAGGCAGCAGUGGGGAAUAUUGCACAAUGGGCGCAAGCCUGAUGCAGCCAUGCCGCGUGUAUGAAGAAGGCCUUCGGGU
rnacentral:rRNA from 1 species